CAGCAGCCGCGGUAAUACGUAGGUGGCAAGCGUUGUCCGGAAUUAUUGGGCGUAAAGGGCUCGCAGGCGGUUUCUUAAGUCUGAUGUGAAAGCCCCCGGCUCAACCGGGGAGGGUCAUUGGAAGCUGGGAAACUUGAGUGCAGAAGAGGAGAGUGGAAUUCCACGUGUAGCGGUGAAAUGCGUAGAGAUGUGGAGGAACACCAGUGGCGAAGGCGACUCUCUGGUCUGUAACUGACGCUGAGGAGCGAAAGCGUGGGGAGCGAACAGGAUUAGAUACCCCAGUAGUCCCUGUCUCUUAUAC
rnacentral:rRNA from 1 species